GCCUUUGUGGUGUAGUGGUCAGCACGCUCGCCGUGUAUUCGAGAGGUCCGUGGUUCGAUUCCUAACGAGGGCA
rfam:Stegodyphus mimosarum contig10205, whole genome shotgun sequence.